GAUGAACGCUGGCGGCGUGCUUAACACAUGCAAGUCGAACGGGAUCCCAGGAGCUUGCUCCUGGGUGAGAGUGGCGAACGGGUGAGUAAUGCGUGACCGACCUGCCCCAUACACCGGAAUAGCUCCUGGAAACGGGUGGUAAUGCCGGAUGCUCCAGUUGGAUGCAUGUCCUUCUGGGAAAGAUUCUAUCGGUAUGGGAUGGGGUCGCGUCCUAUCAGCUUGAUGGCGGGGUAACGGCCCACCAUGGCUUCGACGGGUAGCCGGCCUGAGAGGGCGACCGGCCACAUUGGGACUGAGAUACGGCCCAGACUCCUACGGGAGGCAGCAGUGGGGAAUAUUGCACAAUGGGCGCAAGCCUGAUGCAGCGACGCCGCGUGCGGGAUGACGGCCUUCGGGUUGUAAACCGCUUUUGACUGGGAGCAAGCCCUUCGGGGUGAGUGUACCUU
rnacentral:rRNA from 1 species